AAAUGUCUACUUUCAGGUACUGUUCUUUCUUGUUUGCCUGCGAACGGGCUGUAGAUAUGUAGAUAUUGUACCCAGGCCAUUGUUUGUUUUGUUGUUCUGGAUACAAUGAAAUCCGGCAUAAAUCCUGGCGGUAUAAAUGUUUAGUAUAUUUACACAUUCGAUCUAUUUUCUGUUCAGUUGACUUUGAUAGCUUGAAUGAAAGUUUACGAUGAUUUUCUUUGCAAAAACUGUACUUUCGGAAUUCAUCAGCUUCUGAAUUUGAAAACGGAUCUGAAAAGAGAACAUUUGAGUGUAUGGUUAUUGCAUGGUUCUAAUGAUUCGUUUAUGUUACCAUUGUUUCC
rnacentral:lncRNA from 1 species